GAUGAACGCUAGCUACAGGCUUAACACAUGCAAGUCGAGGGGCAGCAUGGUCUUAGCUUGCUAAGGCCGAUGGCGACCGGCGCACGGGUGAGUAACACGUAUCCAACCUGCCGUCUACUCUUGGACAGCCUUCUGAAAGGAAGAUUAAUACAAGAUGGCAUCAUGAGUCCGCAUGUUCACAUGAUUAAAGGUAUUCCGGUAGACGAUGGGGAUGCGUUCCAUUAGAUAGUAGGCGGGGUAACGGCCCACCUAGUCUUCGAUGGAUAGGGGUUCUGAGAGGAAGGUCCCCCACAUUGGAACUGAGACACGGUCCAAACUCCUACGGAGGCAGCAGUGAGGAAUAUU
rnacentral:rRNA from 1 species